UGGUGGGUUGCCUUGUCAGGUUGAUUCCGGUAACGAACGAGACCUCAGGGAGCUUGUUGGGUUGUGGUUUGGUGGGGGUUCCCCCACCCCGCAACCUCCAAGCCCGACUCUUGGCGACUAGCCAAGGGAAGUUUGAGGCAAUAACA
rnacentral:rRNA from 1 species